GUUGUUUCCAGCAUUAUUUCCUUUUUAUUUGUCAUCUAUGUAUGUAUAAAAGAGAGACCAGUUUCAUUUUAGGAAAGUCUGUAAAAUGGUUUGCAGAACUAUAUACACUAUAAAACUGAAACUGUUAGUUACACAGUGUAGGAUUUCCCCACGCUGCCCCACACACAUCCAGUGUUAACAGAAGGGGAUCUGUUAGAGGAAGAGGAAGGCUUGUCAGUGUUUUCAUUGCAGCUCCAGACCACAUUUCACCUUUCAGCUGCGGUUAGCGCUCAAAUGAGGCUGCACUUUGCAUACGAGAGAAAACAAUCACAUGGACGUUGCAUCUGUAUUCGUAGCACACUUUAUGCGAACAGCCAUCUGCAUCGGCUGUAGGUCUGUAGUGAAGGCAAGUGAGUGAGGGAGGGAGGGAGUAAGGCAGGUAGGUGAGUGAAUGAAGUAGGGAGGUGAGGUAGGUAGGUGAGUGAAUGAAGUAGGUAGGUGAGUGAAUGAGGUAGGGAGGUGAGUGAAUGAGGUAGGUAGGUGAGGUAGGUAGGU
ensembl:lncRNA